rnacentral:lncRNA from 1 species
CAGAACAGAAUAGAAAGCCACUACGUCAGUGUGCUGCAGGGUAGGAGGCGUGCUCUGGGGGCGAAGCAUUGGUGUGAUAGGUGCUGCAGCAGAAAUGGCAUCAACAAAGGGUUAAGAGGUAAGGACACGAACCCCUCAUAAGCCAACCCUCUGCUCCUCUGUGUCCUUCCUGUCAGACCUAGUUCAUAUGUAAGCAUGCUUUUAUUCUAGUUGUAACCCUACAUCACUGAAU